rnacentral:lncRNA from 1 species
GUUUUGUACGUUGAAUUCUAUAUUUGCACUGUUUUGUACGUUAAAUUCUAUAUUUGCAAUGUUUUGUACGUUAAAUUCUAUAUUUGCAAUGUUUUGUACGUUGAAUUCUAUGUUUGCAAUGUUUUGUACGUUGGAACAUAUCAUGAUUAAAUAAGGAUCUGUAUGUUCCUGCUCUUUGUAAUUGCCCCAAUAGCAAGAGAACAAUCUAGCAUCAAUCUUUUUAAUACAUUAAGAUAUUUAAAAAAAUGUUCGUAUGAAGUUACGAAAUAUAUCGCUAGAAAUGAUCACUUGUCAUGUACAUGUAUGUAUUUACAACCUAAUGAUUCAAUACAGCAGUAAAUAGAUCAAAUAAAAUAAAAUAAUAACAAAUUGUAUUACUAUAUAAAUU